CUUGACGACCAUAGAGCAUUGGAACCACCUGAUCCCAUCCCGAACUCAGCAGUGAAACGAUGCAUCGCCGAUGGUA
rnacentral:rRNA from 1 species